GGAAGUGAGGGUGAUCUGUCUGCAACAUCUGUCACCCCAUUGAUUGCCAGGGUUGAUUCAGCUGAUCUGGCUGGCUAGGUGGGUGUGUCCUUCCUCCCUCACUGCUCCAUGUGCGUUCCUCCCAAAGCUGCAAGCUUGGUAGAAGAGGACAGCCUUCCCUGAAUACAGACCGACUGGUCUUCGGUUGAGGGUAUAUGAGUAGCUGCGCUCUCCUGGUAGAACUUCCAAACAAGCUCUCUAGUAUUCUUUGAGCAUAACUAAUGGUAAACUGAGAAAAAUAUUGUAUGUGUGAAUAUAAAUAGGAUUGAUAU
ensembl:misc_RNA 7SK 7SK RNA